rnacentral:rRNA from 1 species
AGAAUCAACGCUGGCGGCGUGCCUAACACAUGCAAGUCGAACGAGAAAGUGGAGCAAUCCAUGAGUAAAGUGGCGCACGGGUGAGUAACACGUGACUAACCUACCCUUGAGUGGGGGAUAACCUAGGGAAACCUGGGCUAAUACCGCAUAAUACCUUCGGGUCAAAGGAGCAAUUCGCUUAAGGAGGGGGUCGCGGCCGAUUAGUUAGUUGGCGGGGUAAUGGCCCACCAAGACUGUGAUCGGUAU